UGGCAGUCUUGUCUCAGAAGAGACUUUGGGC
rnacentral:piRNA from 1 species